rnacentral:rRNA from 2 species
AAACUUUCAAACAACGGAUCUCUUGGUUCUGGCAUCGAUGAAGAACGCAGCGAAAUGCGAUAAGUAAUGUGAAUUGCAGAAUUCAGUGAAUCAUCGAAUCUUUGAACGCACAUUGCGCCCCUUGGUAUUCCGAGGGGCAUGCCUGUUCGAGCGUCAUUU